GACAGAGGUCCCGAGCGUUAGGCGGAAUCACUGGGCUUAAAGCGUGUGUAGGCGGAUUUGUAAGUACCUUGUGAAAUCCCACGGCUUAACCGUGGAACUGCUUGGUAUACUGCGAAUCUUGGGCCAUCUAGGGGCGAGCGGAACAAACGGUGGAGCGGUGAAAUGCGUAGAUAUCGGGAGGAACACCAGUGGCGAAGGCGGCACUCUGGGGCCGGAACGACGCUGAGGAGCGAAAGCGUGGGAGCGAACGG
rnacentral:rRNA from 1 species